rnacentral:rRNA from 1 species
UACGGAGGGUGCAAGCGUUAUCCGGAUUCACUGGGUUUAAAGGGUGCGUAGGUGGGUUGAUAAGUCAGUGGUGAAAUCCCCGAGCUUAACUUGGGAACUGCCAUUGAUACUAUUGAUCCUGAAUACCGUGGAGGUCAGCGGAAUAUGUCAUGUAGCGGUGAAAUGCUUAGAUAUGACAUAGAACACCAAUUGCGAAGGCAGCUGGCUACGCGAAUAUUGACACUGAUGCACGAAAGCGUGGGGAUCAAACAGG